rnacentral:rRNA from 1 species
GGAUGUGGCGUUGCCCAGACAACUAGGAUGUUGGCUUAGAAGCAGCCAUCAUUUAAAGAGUGCGUAAUAGCUCACUAGUCGAGUGACCCUGCGCCGAAAAUGUACCGGGGCUAAACAUAUUACCGAAGCUGUGGAUUGUCCUUUGGACAAUGGUAGGAGAGCGUUCUAAGGGCGUUGAAGCAUGAUCGCAAGGACAUGUGGAGCGCUUAGAAGUGAGAAUGCCGGUAUGAGUAGCGAAAGACGGGUGAGAAUCCCGUCCACCGAUUGACUAAGGUUUCCAGAGGAAGGCUCGUCCGCUCUGGGUUAGUCGGGUCCUAAGCUGAGGCCGACAGGCGUAGGCGCUGGAUAACAGGUUGAUAUUCCUGUACCACCUAUAAUCGUUUUAAUCGAUGGGGGGACGCAGUAGGAUAGGCGAAGCGUACGAUUGGAUUGUACGUCUAAGCAGUGAGAUUGAGUGUUAGGCAAAUCCGGCACUCUUAAGAUUGAGCUGUGAUGGGGAGAGGAAAUUGUUUCCUCGAGUCGUUGAUUUCACACUGCCGAGAAAAGCCUCUAGAUAGAGAUUAGGUGCCCGUACCGCAAACCGACACAGGUAGUCAAGAUGAGAAUUCUAAGGUGAGCGAGCGAACUCUCGUUAAGGAACUCGGCAAAAUGACCCCGUAACUUCGGGAGAAGGGGUGCUCUUUAGGGUGCAAGCCCAGAAGAGCCGCAGUGAAUAGGCCCAAGCGACUGUUUAUCAAAAACACAGGUCUCUGCUAAACCGUAAGGUGAUGUAUAGGGGCUGACGCCUGCCCGGUGCUGGAAGGUUAAGAGGAGUGGUUAGCUUCUGCGAAGCUACGAAUCGAAGCCCCAGUAAACGGCGGCCGUAACUAUAACGGUCCUAAGGUAGCGAAAUUCCUUGUCGGGUAAGUUCCGACCCGCACGAAAGGCGUAACGAUUUGGGCACUGUCUCAACGAGAGACUCGGUGAAAUCAUAGUACCUGUGAAGAUGCAGGUUACCCGCGACAGGACGGAAAGACCCCGUGGAGCUUUACUGUAGCCUGAUAUUGAAAUUCGGCACAGCUUGUACAGGAUAGGUAGGAGCCUUUGAAACGUGAGCGCUAGCUUACGUGGAGGCGUUGGUGGGAUACUACCCUAGCUGUGUUGGCUUUCUAACCCGCACCACUUAUCGUGGUGGGAGACAGUGUCAAGCGGGCAGUUUGACUGGGGCGGUCGCCUCCUAAAAGGUAACGGAGGCGCUCAAAGGUUCCCUCAGAAUGGUUGGAAAUCAUUCAUAGAGUGUAAAGGCAUAAGGGAGCUUGACUGCGAGACGUACAGGUCGAGCAGGGACGAAAGUCGGACUUAGUGAUCCGGUGGUUCCGCAUGGAAGGGCCAUCGCUCAACGGAUAAAAGCUACCCUGGGGAUAACAGGCUUAUCU